rnacentral:lncRNA from 1 species
GUUGGUCUCGCCGGAGCUGAGCUCAGAACCCAGACCUGCUCGGUCUUGGGCGCCUCUAUCCAACUCGGAGAGCGGCGGAGUCAGCGGCACGGUGCCUCGCCUCUCCGCCGUCCUCGUCCCCGCUUCCCCGGCGGUAGCAGCCUGCAGCCACGAUGGACAGUCUGAGGCUGAGAGAGGGCUAGUGAUUUCUCGGACACUUGGGCAAUAGUUUCCAGAACAUCUGUGAAGCCUAAACCCCAUGAUCCACACUGGACACCUCUACUAAAGAGUACUACCCAGGAACACUCUGGGGUGAGCCUGAGUGGGUGGACGAUGUGUGUUUACCAGAUGUCGUUGAUUUUGAGAGCAGUAACUUACUGGUUUCCAAAUACUUUAAUACUCACAUUGCAGGGCUUCCUAUGGCUGGAGGCUGCUAUAGCUUAGAUGGCCUAGUAGGAAUUUUCUGCCUUUAAAGAAUGGCUCAUAAAAUACCGAUGCUAUCUUAUGGUUCAGGAAGUUGUAAUUGAUGCCACUUCGACUUCAUGAAAUUGAUGUUCAGAGCUCAUUGUGGACCAGGUCCUAUUCCGGACCAUGUUACAUCACUUAUUGUCCAAUCUAUGGAACCAUUAUGGGUGGCAGGGAUAGACAGCCUCACUCAUUAGAUGGCAAACUGAAUCUCUAACAAGUUAAGGCAUUUGGCUACACACAGAUUUAUUAGGGGAUAGAAUUGAACUAAUGUCUAUGUGAUUCCUGCUCUUGUGGGUAGAUAUGUGUGUUGGGAGGGACAGCUUGUUUCUCUUCACUUUUUUAGAGCCAACCCUGAGCUUAUCUAUGUGCAUGGCCUGAAGGCAUCUUCAUUUUAAUUAGUAAAAUCAUCUCCAUUGACUGUUAUCUCCUCUGCACUAAACACAUCCUAGACAUUAAAGCUUCUCCCAUAAACAAGAUAUAGUUAAAGCUGAAGAAAUCCAAACAAUAGCAAUUCAUUAAAUGAGUGUUUUUAAGAGCUAUAAAAAUGCUAUAGGUGUAUGUGAGAGAGGUUCUGGACCCAGGAGAAGCUUCUAGGAGGAAGUACCCUAUGAUCUGAAUGUUGGGGCAACUGAGUUGGGG